rnacentral:lncRNA from 1 species
CUAUUGCGCAUGCGUUAGAAAAUCCAGCGAUGCAGCUCUGCAUGCUUCUACGUCUAGAGACUCUUUCUUUUCUGUUCCUGCUUCUUGUGCGGAUGCACGUGAGAAAGCAUCCUUUUUGUGAUUUCUCUCAAGAAAGCCAUGAGGUAUAACGAUUCCAAAUACUUAGAAAAUUAUCUGAAACUCUGGACACUUGCUCCGGACAUUUCCAGACGUCGUAAAAAAGAGGAUGGAUAGCAACCCUAGGUUGUAAAUCUUGAGGAAAAUGGCAUUUUUUAAAUUGAUUGAAGGUUAUAUUGAAGGGGGAAAUCUGGAAAGAAUAAAUCUUGAAAUGGGAAAAUUGUAUCUUGAGAUUCAAUAAAAGGUUAUCUUGAAGAAAAUAGCAUCUUGAGAUUCAAUAAAGGUCUAGACAUAGGGCUUGAGCGAGUGGGAUACAGAAUGAAUCGUUCUUCUAGAACGCAAAAUGGCAAAUUAUAUGUAAUAAUCCGUAUAUUAAAAAAAAUUUUAUAUUAAAUUAAAUAUAUAUCGAGGAAAAUU